GCCUACGGCCAUACCACCCCGAACGUACCCAGUCUCGCCUGGUCUCAGAAGCUAAGCAGGGUUGGGUCUGGUUGGUACUUAGAUGGGAGAACACCCCAUGUUUAGGAC
ensembl:rRNA 5S_rRNA 5S ribosomal RNA